UUGACGGGGACCCGCACAAGCGGUGGAUGAUGUGGAUUAAUUCGAUGCAACGCGAAGAACCUUACCAAGGCUUGACAUACACCGGUAACGCCCAGAGAUGGGUGCCCCUUUGUGGUCGGUGUACAGGUGGUGCAUGGUUGUCGUCAGCUCGUGUCGUGAGAUGUUGGGUUAAGUCCCGCAACGAGCGCAACCCUCGUCCUAUGUUGCCAGCGGGUCAUGCCGGGGACUCAUGGGAGACUGCCGGGGUCAACUCGGAGGAAGGUGGGAUGACGUCAAAUCAUCAUGCCCCUUAUGUCUUGGGCUUCACGCAUGCUACAAUGGCCGGUACAAAGGGCUGCGAUACCGCGAGGUGGAGCGAAUCCCAGAAAGCCGGUCUCAGUUCGGAUUGGGGUCUGCAACUCGACCCCAUGAAGUCGGAGUCGCUAGUAAUCGCAGAUCAGCAACGCUGCGGUGAAUACGUUCCCGGGCCUU
rnacentral:rRNA from 1 species